rnacentral:rRNA from 1 species
CCUACGGGGGGCAGCAGUGGGGGAUAUUGCACAAUGGGGGGAACCCUGAUGCAGCGACGCCGCGUGGGUGAAGGAGUAUUUCGGUAUGUAAAGCCCUAUCGGCAGGGAAGAAAUUGGACGGUACCUGACUAAGAAGCCCCGGCUAACUACGUGCCAGCAGCCGCGGUAAUACGUAGGGGGCAAGCGUUAUCCGGAUGCACUGGGGGUAAAGGGAGCGUAGACGGCCAUGCAAGCCAGGGGGGAAAGCCCGGGGCCCAACCCCGGGACUGCCCUUGGAACUGCAUGGCUGGAGUGCGGGAGGGGCAGGCGGAAGGCCUGGUGUAGCGGUGAAAUGCGGAGAUAUCAGGAGGAACACCGGCGGCGAAGGCGGCCUGCUGGACCGCGACUGACGUUGAGGCUCGAAAGCGUGGGGAGCGAACAGGAUUAGAUACCCCAGUAGUC